UUGAACGCUGGCGGCAUGCUUUACACAUGCAAGUCGAACGGCAGCACGGGUGCUUGCACCUGGUGGCGAGUGGCGAACGGGUGAGUAAUGCAUCGGAACGUGUCCUUAAGCGGGGGAUAACGCAUCGAAAGAUGUGCUAAUACCGCAUAAUCUCUGAGGAGAAAAGCAGGGGAUCGUAAGACCUUGCACUUUUGGAGCGGCCGAUGUCUGAUUAGCUAGUUGGUGGGGUAAAGGCCUACCAAAGCUUCGAUCAGUAGCUGGUCUGAGAGGACGGCCAGCCACACUGGGACUGAGACACGGCCCAGACUCCUACGGGAGGCAGCAGUGGGGAAUUUUGGACAAUGGGCGCAAGCCUGAUCCAGCCAUGCCGCGUGAGUGAAGAAGGCCUUCGGGUUGUAAAGCUCUUUCAGCCGGGAAGAAAAGGCUGCGACUAAUAAUCGCAGUUCAUGACGGUACCGGAAGAAGAAGCACCGGCUAACUACGUGC
rnacentral:rRNA from 1 species